rnacentral:rRNA from 1 species
CCUACGGGAGGCAGCAGUGGGGAAUCUUGCGCAAUGGGCGAAAGCCUGACGCAGCAACGCCGCGUGCGGGAAGAAGGCUUUCGGGCUGUAAACCGCUUUCAGCAGGAACGAAAAUGACGGUACCUGCAGAAGAAGGAGCGGCCAACUAUGUGCCAGCAGCCGCGGUGAUACAUAGGCUUCAAGCGUUGUCCGGAUUUAUUGGGCGUAAAGAGUUCGUAGGCGGUCAAGUAAGUCGGGUGUGAAAAUUCUGGGCUCAACCCAGAGACGCCACCCGAUACUGCUUAACUUGAGUUCGAUAGGGGAGUGGGGAAUUCCUAGUGUAGCGGUGAAAUGCGCAGAUAUUAGGAGGAACACCGGUGGCGAAGGCGCCACUCUGGAUCGAUACUGACGCUGAGGAACGAAAGCAUGGGUAGCAAACAGGAUUAGAUACCCUGGUAGUCCAUGCCGUAAACGGUGGGCACUAGGUGUGGGUUUCUAUUAACGAAAUCCGCGCCGUCGCUAACGCAUUAAGUGCCCCGCCUGGGGAGUACGGUCGCAAGCUAAAACUCAAAGGAAUUGACGGCUGNGANGCGAGCGACACGAGGAGAG